AAGUACACGCAGCGACUGUGAUCACGUGGUAUACUAAAACGGAGGUUUUUGGUAUGCUAAAUGGGAGGUUAUGCUAAAUGAGAGUAUACUAAAUGGGAGGUCCGACUGUAUUCUGCAUACGGCUUCUGCAUGUAGAAUGUACCACGCAAUUUACAUUGAUUAACUGCAAUAAAUUAAAAUUUUCCUAAGCAAUCAUAAUGCGUUAUAGCUCGUAUUAGAUAACAGUAGUAACAAAUUAUUUUUUCUACUGUCAAAUCUUGGUACUCAGAUAUUAAUAAUAUUUCUGUUUGUGUAAAUUUGUAUACUUUUUUUAACUUAAAAAAUUGUGAGCCGACGGGAUUUUCUCAGACUUAUACAUACAAAUACAGUUCUUCCUUUGUUAUUAUUCAGAUUCGAAUACUGGCUAAUGUGAUUUUUUUGUAACCAAUUAAUUUUCUGCAACGAUUCUAAAUAAAUACUUAUCAACAUUAAGUAAUUAAAAAAUUGUCAAUUUUUAAUAGAGUAAAUUUAAUAUUCUAAUGAAAAAACUAUUAUAAGUUUGACAAACUCCAGCAACGAGCAAUUUAUCAAGUUGAGGAAAGAAUAAAAAUUCACACAAGGAGAAAUAUUAUUUGAUUAUGCUGUGUAAAAGCUGCAUGCUUGUGCAUAAUACAAUUGAUCAAACGAUGAAUUAAAAGACUCGCUUUUUAUUACUCGAUCUUGAUUUUCGUCAUCAGAUGUCUAGAAUCAUUUCUUAAUAUUACCGAACACUCAUUUGUAUGAUCAUGAAAAGAUUUUCUUGUGAAGGGUAUACUAUUAUUGAGUUAAUCUCAAACUUAUACUGAACUCAGGACUUAUACUGAAUUGAUUACUGAUACUGCAGCGACGCUAUCACUACAUUUAUUAUCACAAAGUUGAAGUAUUGUGCACAAUAUAUAUUAAGUGAAAGUAAUGGCUUUGCAAUCCUACAAUAUGCAUAUAUUCCGCAUAUAAAAUGUACCACGCAUUUUACAUUGAUUAACUGCAAUAAAUUAAAAUUUUCGAAUUUGUACUUUACACUUCAUUAAAGUUAUGAGAAGAUAGGUGACUUCACAAUAUGUCACUUUAACAGAAUCGGAUUUUGAUAAUAUCGUAGCAGAAUGGCUGCGUUUUGCUAAACAACUUAAAAGCAGAGAAACUGAACAAACAAAUAGAAAAGCUGAAGAACGUAUUAUUUAGGAAUAAAUUUGAAGGAAAUACUUUUUGACGAAGAGUACCUGCUCAGUAGCUAACAGACUGUAAAGAAAAAUCUUACAAUAUUUCAAAAAGUAUGCAUGUCCAACGUUUAACAAAUCUUAGUAAUACAUUUUUUUGAUUCUUAGAUAGUAAAUCAAAUAGAUUGUACUUGCUAUAUCGAUUAAUGCAGUAAGUGCCAUUUAUAGAUAGCAAAAUCUGCAUCGAUAGAGUCUCUUUGAGAUGAACCGGUGGGUGCUGGGACCAUCAUCCGUGGAUGACAAAGUCCGCACCGGUAGUCUUUUCGAGACGAAUUGGUAGGUGUUGGGAUUGCUAUCCAUGAAUGGCGGAUUUCACAUCUGUGGAAUUAUUUUGAUUUAUCAAAGUAUUUCUGUAUUACGAUUAAAUUUACAAAAUAUAUUUUCGUUAUUAUAUUAUGGUUUUCUUACUUUUUGAAUUUUAUCUCACGGCAUCUAAAUUUUUGCGAUUGAAUUUAUGAAUAAAUCAUGCGAGAAAAAGCAAACAAAAAGAUUAGCGAGGACUAAUGCAUACAUUUUGAAAUAUUGUGAGAUUUGGUCGCAAAUAUUUACAACAAACGAAAAGUUCGCGAGUAAUGCGAUGUUUUUUUUCUUGUGCAACACUUUUUGCGUCGUAAAAGCUGUCGACAUUUUGUGCAGUUGUCGCGCAAAUAUUUUAUAAUGUAGUGGUGUAGUGAAUCCUUGUUUUUUGAUAAAAUUUUAUUUUUAAUAGGCUCUACAUUGUACCGGCAAAACUGCAAUCACAAUUUAAUGCCUUUGUGUUACUUGUGUACUUUUUUGCAAGCCGAGAAAACUGCUGCUGUGUUUUUUUCCUUAUACAACAUCUUUUGCGACGGAGAAACUGCCGAAGUUUUGUAGAACUGCGUCCAAAAAAGUCUUAUUUUAUGUUAAUGUAGUAUACCUGCGUUUAGUAUACCUGCGUUUUAAGUAAAAUUUUGUUUUUAAUAGCUCUACAUAGUAGCAUUAAAAUUGUACAAUUAAUUUUCUCGCUCUGCGAAAAACAAUCAAAGUGAAUUAAAUUUUGAUUGCACAGUUGCUAAUGCUAAUAUGUUUUUUCUUAUGCGACACUUUUUGCAACGGAGAAACUAUUUUUCGAUAUUCUGUAUAACUAUCGUGCCUAAAAAUGUCCUAUUUUAC